rnacentral:rRNA from 1 species
GACAAACGCUGGCGGCAUGCCUAACACAUGCAAGUCGAACGGACAGAACAGGGAAGCUUUUCGGAGUGGAACUGGAAAGUUAGUGGCGGAUGGGUGAGUAACGCGUGGACAACCUACCUUGUAAAGGGGAAUAACCUCGAGAAAUCGAAGCUAAUACCCCAUAAUAACCUUGCUUCGCAUGAAGUAAGGAGGAAAGGCGGCCUUAGCGCUGUCGAUACAAGAUGGGUCCGCGUCUGAUUAGCUAGUUGGUGAGGUAAAGGCUCACCAAGGCGACGAUCAGUAGCCGGCCUGAGAGGGUGAACGGCCACAUUGGAACUGAGACACGGCCCAAACUCCUACGGGAGGCAGCAGUGGGGAAUCUUCCGCAAUGGGCGAAAGCCUGACGGAGCAAUGCCGCGUGAGUGAAGAAGGCCUUCGGGUUGUAAAACUCUGUCCUUAUCGAAGAGAGAGUGUUGUAGUAACUGACAAUGCUAGGACGGUAGAUGAGGAGGAAGCCCCGGCUAACUAUGUG